GCCUGGCUAGUUCAGUUGGUAGAGUGUUAGGUUCUUAAUCUAAUGGUCCAGGGUUCAAGCCCCUGCCUGAGCA